CCUACGGGUGGCAGCAGUGAGGAAUAUUGGUCAAUGGGCGCGAGCCUGAACCAGCCAAGUCGCGUGAGGGCAGACGGUCCUAUGGAUUGUAAACCUCUUUUGUCGGGGAGCAAAAGACGCCACGCGUGGCGUUCCGAGAGUACCCGAACAAAAAGCAUCGGCUAACUCCGUGCCAGCAGCCGCGGUAAUACGGAGGAUGCGAGUGUUAUACGGAUUUAUUGGGUGUAAAGGGUGCGCAGGAGGAAGAUCAAGGCAGCGGUAAAAUUGAGAUUCUCAACAUCUUCGUUCCGUUGAAACUGGUCUUCUUGAGUGAGAGAGAAGUAUGCGGAAAGCGAGUUGUAGCGGUGAAAUGCAUAGAUAGACCGCAGAACCCCGA
rnacentral:rRNA from 1 species